CUCAAAAAACAUUGUCUCAUUUUUCUUGCUUGUUUAUGAAUGCAAAAAUUGUCAGCAGGUGCAGUUGGUGCUACUGAUAACAUUGAAAUUCUGACAGAAAUUGUGUUUUGGUGAAGACAGUGCCUUCUGGAUACAGGGAUUAAAUUUUAUUUUUUAUUAUGUAGUAUGUUUGACUUGAACUUCACCUUCUGCUCCUCAGUGGCAUGGUUCGCCUGAGGCUUUCCCUCUGUUCCUUCCUGUGCAAGGUACCUGAUAUUCCAGAGCAAUUAAAACACCUCAGGCACUUGGAACUCUCCACUGAAUUCCUUCUUAAAAAUAAUUUAAUUUUUAUUUUUUAAAUCAAAAAUCAUAGUUCACACAGCUGCAGAGAAAAGAAAAAAAAAAUCCGUCCUACAAGUGGUGAAGAUUCAAAUAAGGUUUUCUUCUCAAAUGAAGCUGGAAGCGUUUGUGGAACAUGCAGUUUGCAGGCAAAGGCACUGGGGAUAAGAAGGGAAGAGCUGCUCUCUGCAUGCCUGAGAAGGCUGGAUGAUUUGAAUGCAAAGAUAACAAACAUUUAUCUUGCCCUACAUUGAAACUAUGAGCUGACAGAUGGGGAUUAAAAACCUGGGUCAUUUAGACCAUCAUUAAUGUUCAUGUGAGAUGAUGAGAACCUCAGAUCCUUUCCUCAGAAAGGAGCUGGGGCCAGAGGGUUCAGGGAGAUGGAAAAGGGACAUAAUUCACUCCCCAGGAUACUGAGGGGAGCUUGCCCUGCUUCC